UAAUUAUUAGUAUAAAAAGAUUAUAUUAAUUUUCCAAAUUAAAGAUUUGAUGAUUAU
rnacentral:tRNA from 1 species